UUUAUUUAUUUACUUUCCAGGAUUAUAAGAUGAAAGCAAAAUUUGGCAAAUAGUGGGCCCAUUAAAUGAAUGAAGAGCCAAGUGUGAAGCUAUUGAUAAAUCGUGACCACUUGAAUAGUGCAGAGUCAGGACCAAUACACAGAGUAGAGGUCAAGAUCCACCUGGACACAAGGUAUUGAUUUUAAACUGAUUAAAUGAAAUAACCACAUGUCAACCUGGGGGAAAGACUGAGUGAAGACCAUCAUGAUCAUCUUGAAACUCAAAGGAAUUUGCAACCAGAAUGGCUUAACUUUGAAAACAGUUACACCUCAAGGCAACCUCCUGGCAGGCCAACCUGAAGCCCACCUGUCCAACCAUGCAUCUAAGCUGAGUUCUCGUCACAGCCCACUUCAAUGAUAAACAACUGAGAUGAUGCCAGAGGCCAAAAUCCCUGAGAACCCAAUUUGUUGUCAUCACCGUGGCUAAAACAAAGUGCUUGGCAUCUAGAAAAGCUGAUCUGUAGGAAAUUUUUAAUAGAGUUCAAUUUUUUCUGAGUUUAAAGUGUACGAUAUGAAGAUCAGACACCUGAGAUAAAACUAGACUUGUAUUUAAAUAGAAUAAAAAUAUUUGAAGAAUAGUAAUAGUGGUGACUACUUUUACACAGGAAUGCUUUAAAUAAAUUGGUUUUUUCUCCUUUUAAAUUUUGUGAUUUGUCAAUGUGAUGCUGACAUAUUUUUAAUGAAGUAUGCCUCAUAAAAUAAUAAGUGAAUGAAAAAUAUACAGUAAUAUUUACAUCAACAAAGCUAGAAGAAGACUGCAUGUCCCAAGAGGCUCCAUCAUCUACCCAGUGGCCACUUAACCAAAUUAAGAUCCAAAUACCAAAAAGAAAAGCAAAUAAAAUUUGUGUUGUAUGCUUUACAAGACCAAACCCAUGAAAUGAGGGAAACUUCACAAUUACUUGUAAUUUGCUCUGUGGAAUUGUGACAGAUGGAUUGUAAAGAUGAUUCCAUGAUAAACAUCUAAAUGUGGUUACUACCUUCUGUGCUUUCUUGGUUCAUAUUUUU
rnacentral:lncRNA from 1 species